CAAUGCAUUUCUAAUUAUUUUUUCGCAAGUAUGGCAAACUUUUAAUACAUUAUUAGAUAUGUUAAUUUGCCUUUAUCUUUAUAAGCAAUCAAACUGUCACUAUAUAUCCUUUGAUUCGAUUUUAAUGCGUCUAUACAAUAGUUACAUAAAAUAGUACUUUGUAAUUGCAUGACAACAUAUCCAGCGAUAUAUACAGUCAUGUCUCUUGAAAAUUCAGAUAAAUAUUUAACAUCUGGUAUAUAAUCAUGAUCGUAAACGUCAUCCUCAAUAACUAUAUCAUCUUUAAGACGUUGUAAUCCAGAAGACCAUCGAAUAAUAUUUUCUGAAUUAACAUUCGAAUGAAAAGAUAAAAUGUCAACUUCAGAAUUGCGUUCAGAGAAACGAUCUGUGAUUCCUUUCGCCAAACCUUUUGUUGCAAAUAUUUAAUUUUUUCUCUGGUACAGAUUUUUUGUACUUUCUAGCUGUUUUCGCAGACGUUUCUUUUCCGGAGAAUUAAAUAUCUUAUUUGGUGAAACGCUUGUCGAAUUAUCCACAACUACAACAGUUUUAAUAUCAUGUUUACUGUGUCCAGGAAUAGGAGAUGUACCUCUAUGUGUUGUCGUAAUCAUAUUACAUACAGAACUUGAUGCAAUAUUUGUAUUAUGUGAAAUAUCUGCAUUAGGAACUGCAUCAGGAACUAUAUUAAUUACAUCAGCAACCACAUGUACUAUAUACAUAAGUAAACAAAAGAUAUAUUUAUAAG